GCUCGUUCCUAUGGCAGCGACCCAGGAGAAGACUACUAAGAAGGUUAACAAGUUUUUAGAAAGUCUGCCUUUCAUUGGAAACAUCACAAUGAGGAAUCUUUCUAUGGACAGGGAGAGGAACGCUCCGAACGGCCAGUUGUGUGUGAUCUGGUUACCAAGGUGAACCCACAUACAAAAACAACCAACCAGAAUGUCGGAUAUUGCCAGAUUCACGAUCAGAAUGUUCGCCGAAGUACGCAUGCGCUUGUUGGCAUAAAUGAUGAAAACUACGAUCGAAUUUCCAAUGAUGUCGAGUAAGAAAACAAGAAGGUAGAAAAAUACUUUGAUGAUGAUUUCCACGAAUGGAAUCGGUUUUAAUGGUGCGCCGUCCGUGAUGGCGAGGAGACUGGAGUCCACGUGUGUAAACACUUGUUGACCAAUGACACUGGUACAGUUCUGUGUCCACAUGAUUCUCGGACACUAAACUACACUCUACAAGGGGAAAAUGUGUAAUCAGAAAGUCCAGAGUUUUUAAUUUGCCUUUUUUUUUACUUUUUCAACAUUUAUGUGCUUUCUUACUAUAUCAACACGGUGUUUUGUAACUUUAAACUUGCUCCUUGGUGUCCAGAAAAACUGUUUUUCCUUGUCUAAAUAGAAAAUAUAACCAAAUUUU
rnacentral:sRNA from 1 species